UACGGAGGGUGCAAGCGUUAUCCGGAUUUACUGGGUUUAAAGGGUGCGUAGGUGGGUAGAUAAGUCAGCGGUGAAAUCUCCGGGCUUAACUCGGAAACUGCCAUUGAUACUAUCUGUCUUGAAUAUCCUGGAGGUGAGCGGAAUAUGUCAUGUAGCGGUGAAAUGCUUAGAUAUGACAUAGAACACCCAUUGCGAAGGCAGCUCACUACGGGAUUAUUGACACUGAGGCACGAAAGCGUGGGGAUCAAACAGG
rnacentral:rRNA from 1 species